rnacentral:rRNA from 1 species
UAUUUAUUAGAUAAAAAACCAAUGCCCUUCGGGGCUCCUUGGUGAAUCAUAAUAACUUAACGAAUCGCAUGGCCUUGCGCCGGCGAUGGUUCAUUCAAACUUCUGCCCUAUCAACUUUCGAUGGUAGGAUAGUGGCCUACCAUGGUAUCAACGGGUAACGGGGAAUUAGGGUUCGACUCCGGAGAGGGAGCCUGAGAAACGGCUACCACAUCCAAGGAAGGCAGCAGGCGCGCAAAUUACCCAAUCCCGACACGGGGAGGUAGUGACAAUAAAUACUGAUACAGGGCUCUUUUGGGUCUUGUAAUUGGAAUGAGUACAAUUUAAAUCCCUUAACGAGGAACAAUUGGAGGGCAAGUCUGGUGCCAGCAGCCGCGGUAAUUCCAGCUCCAAUAGCGUAUAUUAAAGUUGUUGCAGUUAAAAAGCUCGUAGUUGAACCUUGGGCCUGGCUGGCCGGUCCGCCUCACCGCGUGUACUGGUCCGGCCGGGCCUUUCCUUCUGGGGAACCUCAUGCCCUUCACUGGGCGUGUUGGGGAACCAGGACUUUUACUUUGAGAAAAUUAGAGUGUUCAAAGCAGG